GAUGAACGCUGGCGGCGUGCUUAACACAUGCAAGUCGAACGGACUUUACAUGAAGCCUAGCGAUUGUAAAGUUAGUGGCGGACGGGUGAGUAACGCGUGAAUAACCUGCCUUAUACUGGGGGACAACAGUUGGAAACGACUGCUAAUACCGCAUAAGCGCACUAAAGCUGCAUGGCUCAGUGUGAAAAACUCCGGUGGUAUAAGAUGGAUUCGCGUCUGAUUAGCUAGUUGGUGAGGUAACGGCUCACCAAGGCGACGAUCAGUAGCUGGUUUGAGAGGAUGAUCAGCCACAUUGGGACUGAGACACGGCCCAGACUCCUACGGGAGGCAGCAGUAGGGAAUAUUGCACAAUGGAGGAAACUCUGAUGCAGCCAUGCCGCGUGUGUGAAGAAGGCCUUCGGGUGUAAGCACUUUCAGAGGGAGGAGAA
rnacentral:rRNA from 1 species